AGUUAAAUUUUUCAUUCAUUUCAACCGUUAAAAACUAACGUGACUAACAGAAUAACAAGACAAUUACACAUGGCAUGCCACAUGUACUUCAUAACAAUGUACAUGACCAAUUUUAAGAGUGGAAAUAGAUGAAAUUUUUAACA
rnacentral:pre_miRNA from 1 species